rnacentral:tRNA from 1 species
GGAGGAGUCUCGUAGUGGACUAGCGAGCACGCCUGGAGAGCGUGUAGGGGUGUACGCCCCUCGUGGGUUCGAAUCCCACCUCCUCCGCCA